CAUAGUCAUUACAACUCAGUGGUCCAAAAAAAGGCAAGAUUCUUUCACAGCUUGUACGUGCCUAAUUUUAUCUGACUAUGCUAUUAUCAUCUUGCACUCGUAUGCUAUAUCCUAUUUUCUCUCUAUGAUAUCAUGUACAAUUCAUUUUCAACUUUGUAUCACUUUAAAAUAUUAAAGAAAAAAGAGGAUAUAAAAAUAAUUUGCACCAGAACUACAUAAUAUGUUACGGCCUGUAGAAAACUGAUGCAGCCAUUGCACCUACUAGGAUGAAAUGUUGUUAUGGAAUUUUUGCUGUGAUUUACUUUCACAUGGCAGUUGUGACCGCAUGUUGCAGACAACUACAUGCAACUGUAAUAUUGCGCGGCCGCGUCAUGUGCAGUUAGAGACCUUUCUUGUAACACUCAAAAUCUUACAAAUUUUACAUAUGCAGUGCAACAAACAAAAGACCAGAACAAAAUAGAAAAUCAAUCUUCUUAUGAAUUAUUUGUUUAAAACUCACAUUAAUUGAGAACCAUUCACUUGUGAAAGGAUAACACUGAAACCAUCUUCUGUAACCUUGAGUAAACCCUGCAAAAUAUAAAUUAUGUGUUAUUUCUCAUGCAAAAUUUUAUCUUGGACCUAUAAUUAGCUCAUAAUUUUCUUAACAAACUUCUUGGCCAAGUAUUACAGGAAUAUAUAUUUACCUCGGAAGCAUCACACACAAUGAGACCACCAUCUUUAGAUGUAGUGAUUCCAAGCAAAGAAGAGCUAUCUAUAUGCUUCCAAUUCUCCCAAUUUUCAUUCCUAACCAUUCUUUUAAUCCAACCAUCUCUUGUAGCUGUAUAUAGAACACCAUUUUUAUCAACACAAACAUCUUCUGGUUGUUUCAGAAAUCCUUCUCCGAGUUUAAUCACAUUCUGUUAUGUUAUGGAAACAUUAAUAGAUAAUUAAAUACAUAUUAUUUUGAAAAUGUGGCAAAUAUUGAUAAAAUAUUCACCUGUAAUUGGUUGUUUUUGGUUGAAGAAGGUGAAGAUGCAGAAGAAGGAAUUUCUAGUAUAACUGGAUCUAUCGGUGAGAAGUAGAAGACUUGAACUGUGAGAGCAACUAAAGAUGCUAGCACCAAGCUUGAGGUCAGUGUGACACAAUAUUUACCAAGGGUGGAAGGAGGAUUGGUUAUAUUGGAAGCCAUGCUUUACAAGCUGUGUGCUUUGCAUAUAGUGGAAUUUUAUUAUCACAUUUUUAUGGAACUGUUUUGAUUUAGGUAUGUGUUGACAUCUGUUUCCUUUUCUGGACUGAAAAGUUAUCCGAGGGUUCGGCUAAUAGCUCUCAACCGUGAUUUCAUUUUGCUUCAAAUAAUUACGCCAAGAAAGGAACUUUGUUCCUCCAUCGUCCGUUCCUUAACUACUCUAAAGAGUGUUAGGUGAGACGAUGAAUAACCCACUUGUGUCGGUCUGGUGUUGUUGACUUGUAAUAUUGGAGUGUGCCCUUUUUCAAGAUCUCAAAUUCAAUUUUCUCCCAAUGUCAAUUUUAAUGAGCAAUGAGCUUAUUUUAAAUGUGGUCCACGCGACUGGAUGCAAAGAUUAGCAUAUUUACAAAAGGAGAGCAUGCAAAGAUAUUGUAAGGAAUGUUGUUGUGGAUUAGGAGGUAUUCAUCUCAAUUUUCUUAGAACUUUACCAAAUACUAAAAUUUCAUCUCCAAUUAAUAGUGCAUCCGAUUGAUAGUCUAUUCCAAAUAUAAUAAAUUAAGCCAAAUCACAUUUACUUGUGAUACAAAUCUUUGUGAUAUCCUAUUAAGUACGGACAGAGACAUCGGACACAAGACACAUACACCAACAUGCGACACCGAUAAAAUUUUGAGAAAAUAAUAUAAUUCAAUGUAAUCACAUGUGUCAGUGUCACACACCGGGACACACCUUCAAUCAGAAGUGUCGGUCCUACUAGGGGUGUUCGCGGUCCGGUUUGGAUCGGUUUUGAGAGGAAAAGUGAACCGAUCCAAAAUAAAAAUCAUGCGCGGUUCGGUUCGGUUUGGAUGAUUAUUCAAAAAAAAUCCGAUCCGAUCCGAUCCAAAUAUAUGCGGUUUAUUUUGGAUCGGUUUUUGGACAUCCAAAGUACAACAUUUAAUUUUUUUUUAUUUUAAGUAAUAUGACACAUGCAUAGAAAAAUAAUAAGUUUGAUACAAAAUAUAACACAAAUGUAUUAAAAAAGUUUUUUUUGACAAGAAAUGUAUUAAAAAAAUUAACUUUACACAAUGAAAAUGAUUGAUUAUAUUUGAAAUAGAUGAUGUAGUAAUAAUCUAGAUUAAAUUAAUGCAAUAUAUGUUUCUUCAAAAAAAAUUAAUGCAAUAUAUAAUACUAAUAAAAUAAUAAAUAAGAAUUAAAAUCUACUUUUGCGGUUCGGUUCGGUUUGGUUCGGUUUUGAAAAGGUGAUCCGAACCAAUUAUAGCGGUUUUGCCAAAACAACAUCCAAACACAUCCAAAAAUAUUCGGUUUUUUGCGGUUUUCGGUUUUUUUGGAUCGGUUUGCGGUUUUAUUUUGGAUCGGUUUGGAUUUGAACACCCCUAGGUCCUACAAAGGUGAUAUCUUUAGGAUAAAAGGUGUCACACUAGCGAAUCAGAUUGAUAAUCAAUCUCAUUUUUAUCACUACUAAUGAGGAAUGCUAGCAACACUCACUUUUUAACACUCUCACUAUCACUCACUCUUUUAUUGGAUAAAAUCAAUGUAUGUCCCACUAUUUUAUGUGGGUUCAAUUUUCAAAGUGAAGACCUACAAUGUUUUAAACCAAUAAGCGUGCGUUUGGUUCAGCGGUGGAGAGAAUUGAUUUUGAUAAAAUUGAUUUUGAUAUAAUUGAUUUUGGUUAAAAGUGAUUUAAAUGUUAAUUGAUUUAUGUUUGGAUACAUCAAUGUAAAAAUGAUUCUUAUAAAGUGAUGUUGUUUGGAUAAUUUAAAUCAAAAUUGAUUUUGAAUGCAUAAUUACCAAAAUGGGUAUUGAUAUAUAUUAUUUAUAAUUUUGAUAAAAGUUAAAAUGUAUGUUUAUUUUAAUCCCUAAUAAAAUGUAUAUUUUAUUUGAUUUUGAAACCAUUGCCUCCCGUGGGCCGGGUUGUAUAUUAGAAGAGAAAAUGAACGGUGUAGACAAGGUGUAGACGAGAAUGAGAGGGGUCGGAACAAAGAAGCAAUACAAUUAAGGGCAAUGUUAUUUGAACAACAUUUUCUUGUGACAACCUAUUAGACAACCAAAUAAUACAAAGAAAUUUAGGUAAUGACACAAAAAUCAAAGAAGUAGAGAGAGAAAGUAGAAGGACAAUGUGAGUAAGAGAGGGAAAGUUGUUGCAAAAGUUGUCAAAAAAUAGUUGUUCAAAUAUCAUUUCUCUACAAUGAAUGUUGUAAAUGGUGUUUGCAGUAAACAUCAACCAACAAGAAAAGGGCAAUGAAGGAAUAAAACAAAUCUUGUAAAUCUCAACCACAAAAAAGGUAGAAUCGAUUCUGAAAAGCUCCGAUUCCUAGCUUUUGCCAGAAUCACUUUUAAACAAGAGAAUCAAUUUCAGAGUUGACAUCCAAACAAGAUCACACAAGAUAAAACCACAUCAAAAAGGUUGAAACGUGCGUUUGAUCGGUGAAAACGCGAAACCAAACAUGUACUAAGAGAAUGAGUAUCAGAGAGUGUUUAAAAUAGUGUUGCGAGCAUAACUCCACUGCUAAUAUCGUAUGUAUUAUUAUUCAUAUCAAUGACAAGCACAAAUUAACAUAAAAUACAUUCCUAUAAAUGAUUUUGGUCUAAAUCAUACAUUAAAAACUAAUAAGAUGUUUUUUCUCAUACAAGCAAAGAGAUGCACCCCUUAUUCAAUCUUAAAGUUGAACUACUUCACUAGUUCUAUGCAUUUUGCAGUGGAAAUUUCCCAACAAAAUCAGUAUUAAGACUACCUAAGUAAAGAUUGUCCUCAAACUCAACAGCUGAAGUUACAAAAGUGAUUUUCUUCCCAUCAUUAUCACCAAACUUUUUUAUAAUAUUGCCUUCAGUUGUCACUUUCACCACCAUUGCAGAUUUAGUUACACUAUUAAUCAUGUUAACUAGCCUUGGAAAUAAAGCUACCAAGUGUUUGGAUACUUUAGAGGUGUGCACAAACCCCAUCCUUUCAGAAGUCACCUGCAAUAUCAAUUAAUUAUAACUUCUAAAAAAUUAUGUAUUCGUUCUAACUUCAAUUAUAAACAAAAGUAGGUCAAACAAAAUUUAUGUAUUUGGUCAUCUUUAACAUACUUUUGGGUAUAAUUAUGGUCAAAGGAGUACCUAUUAGGCAUAACCAAUGUAUAUUUCAAUAUUAAUCAAUAUAGCACCGUGACUGACACAUUUGAAAUUGAAGACGUGCCUGUAUAAUUUGAUUUCAUGUAUUCUAUUUUUAAUUUUUGUCGUUUAUUCAACGAUUUUACUAAAAAGUAGAGACUAAUUUUACAGAUGGAAAAUUUUGGAGGGACCAAAAACCAAAGGAAUAUUUUAGAGGGACUAAAAUCAAAUGUUGGUAUAUUUAGGGGGACCAUUUAAUUAUUUAACCCUAUAUAUUAUAUUAUUUAUAAAUUUUAAUUUAUAAAUUAAUUUGAACUCACUAGAAUAUAUAUAUAUAUAUAUAUAUAUAUAUGUAUGUAUUAAAUCUUUCAUAAAACUAAAAGAAUAUAUAUAUUAAAUUUCAUUGUAGUACAUGUAUAUGUUACCUGAAUUAAAGCAAUCCAGAAUGAGCCAUCAGGAGCAAGAUUAAUAUUAUCAGGUCCAGCUGGAAGGUUUUCAAUAAAGAUUUCUGUUUUACCUUUAUUAAUUCCUUUUAACCAAUGUUUUAGACACCUAAAUCUGAUUCAUGAAAAACAAAUCAAACAAGAUAAAAAUUGUCAAUACAAUAUAAAAGUGUACCAAUAUGAAACUAAUAUAGUUAUUAUUUAAUUAAGAAAGCACUUACUUCCAAGUUUCACAAACCACAAGAUAAUCUUCAUCUUUGGAGAGUGCAACACCAUUGGCAAAGGCCAAAUGAUCAAGGACAAUAACGGUUUCAUUUGACAAUGGAUUGUACCUUAAAAGUUGUCCAUGUGGUCUUGCCUCAAGCACAUCUAGAUACCAAUUGUGUAAACCAAAUUUGGUACUUGGUACACUGAAAUAUAUAUUUCCAUCUGAUGCUUCUAUUAUAUCAUCUGCAAAUCUGCUUCAAAUAACUCAUUAGAAAAGUCAAGUAACCCUUACUAUAUUAUUAUUAUUAUUUUUAAAUAUCUAAAGAAGGGAGAAAAUAUUAAGGCUAAAUUACACUUUUAAUCCCUUAACUUAAUUUCAGCUAACAAUUUGGUCUUUUAUCCUUUUUUUUUUCAUUUCAAUUUUUUCAUUUUAGUUCAUUUACAUAUGAUUUUUCAAGCUUCAAAUUCAUUGUUUUAUUUUCUUAUGACCUUUUCAUCUUUAAAUCUAUGGCCUUCAUCUAUGUUUGCAUAAAAAUAUUAAAUUUGAAGCAGAGGACAAAAUUGAAAUCAAAAUCCAUAUUAAAUUUCUUUACAUUUACCAAUAAUUUUCCUUCUUAAUUUUCACUCUAGAUAUACAUGUUGCUUAAUUUUUAUUGUUAACAAAGCUUUUUUUUUUUUUAAAUUCUCAAAAGAUUUGAAAUGACAAAAUUGGAUGAUGUCAAAACUAUUAGAAAUAUUUUUGUUUAUCAAUUAUAAUAUCUAUUAAUUAUUAUGAUGUCAAAUCUAGCCAUAGUUCUUUUAGCAAGAGUCAGUUUCCACGUGACCUGAGUGUGCUCCUCCUACGUUUACUUGUAGAGUAAUGAUAUUUGAACAACCUUUUAGUAAUAACUUUUGUGAUAAUCUACCUUUUCUCCUUUUUUAUUGGUCAAAAACAAUAGAGAGAGAAAAAGGAAGAGAGAGAAUAAGAAGAUAAUGUGAGUAUGAGAGAGAAUGUUAUACAAAAGUUAUCAUAAAAUGGAUGUACAAAUAUCAUUUCUCUUACUUGUACACCCAGUUGCAUGUCUUCCCUAUUUUACGGUCGAGGAGUGUUAUAUUGACAACUAAAAACCUACAACCUUUUUCACACUGUAACUUUCAUGUGAAACAAUUAAGCCUGGCACGCAACCAACAUAAUUAAAAAUGAUUAAAAAACUGGAUUUGUAUAGCAAAUGGUAGAAAGAGACGGUGUGGACAACCUUUUUGGUUGUUCAUAUAACAUUUGCCUUUACGAUCAUUAUGUAGUCAGAGAAUAUUGAUUUAAUUUAUUUUUUUUGGUACAGAAUAUUGAUUUAAUUUAUACGCCAUUAUUUGCUUAUAUUUUUCACCAUGUCAAUAUUGGUUUCUGAAGGGACCAUGUAAAUAUUUAUAGAUCCCUAAAAAAAAAUGUAAAGAUUUUAUAUAUAUGUUUUAGAAACUACAAUAACAAAGUGGCAUAAAAGUGUGUUAGUGUGUUUUAUUUAUUUGAUAUAUAUGUAAAAAAAAAAAAAAUUAUUCAAGAAAAAGUUUUAGAAUAUAUAUUUUAUUUUUCUCAGAUUAUGUUUAUUACUUUUCUCAAUAGUAUAUAUAUUUUAUUUAAUUAAAAAGUCUUCCAAAUUAUUCCACCAUGUAAUUACUUUUAAUCACUCAAAUAAUGUAGCGAUCAUUAGUUAUAAUUGUGGUUAUGAGUCCAGAUUGAAAACUAUGAUUGGUUGAUAAGGAUGACAAUUGAUCUGAAAGUUUCUUGGGAAUAUAUGCCAUGCUGAAGUUGGAGUUACGGUAAAAAGCUUUAAUAGAAUAUAUUGGGUGGACUGUCAAAAAAGAAGAAUAUAUUGGACAGAACAUAUAAGUGAGGAUCAUAUACCCUAUUCUUAAAAUUUUAGACACAAAAAGUGAUGUGUUAAAAUCAUUUAUUACUGCUUAAAAAAAAAAAAAUCAUUUGUAUUACUUAAUCUAAGCAUGGAUGAACUAAACAAAACAGAAAAGCAAUAUACUCAUAAUGAAUUAUUUGUCUAAAACUUACAUUAAUUGAGAACCAUUUACUUGUGAAAGGAUAACACUGAAACCAUCUUCUGUAACCUUUAGUAAACCCUGCAAAAUAUAAUUAUGUGUUAAUUUUUUUAUUUUACAAAUCAAAUCGACAAGGUCUGAAUCUCAAUAAAUCGUUGCAGCAAGACCACUCUAUCACUUACAAUAUACCAUGUCACGUAUCUAUGCUUAUUGGAAUUCAAUAAAUUAAUUAAAUCCAAGCAAGAAUUAUUUACCAAGGUAGUAUCACAAACAAUGAGACCACCAUCUUUAGAUGUAGUGAUUCCAAGCAAAGAAGAGCUAUCUAUAUGCUUCCAAUUCUCCCAAUUUUCAUUCCUAACCAUUCUUUUAAUCCAACCAUCUCUUGUAGCUGUAUAUAGAACACCAUCUUUAUCAACACAAACAUCUUCUGGUUGUUUCAGAAAUCCUUCUCCAAGUUUAAUCACACUCUAUUAAGAAAUAAUAUAAUUAAAUAUCUUAUACAUGAUAAAUAUAGUUAAAUAUAAAUUAUUUUGUAGACUAGUUAUAACUAGAUCAUAUAACAAGUAUUGCUUAAGUUUUCACCUGUAAUUGGUUGUUUUUGGUUGAAGAUACAGAAAAUGGUAUUUCAAGAGAAACUGGAUCUAUGGGUGAAAAGUAGAAGACUUGAACUGUG
rnacentral:lncRNA from 1 species